rnacentral:lncRNA from 1 species
AUGGAUUUCCUCAAAGUAGGCUGGAUAUUGAAUUUAGUCCCUAAUCCAAAAUUUACUCAUCAGGAUGCUGUAUAAUGCUGCAGAGCCAGAGGCUGGGAGUUGAGUCCCCCACUAUGCAUCCCAAGAGAGCCAGACUGUGUAGCCUUGGGCAAGCUGCACAGUCCCAAGGCACCUCCAGAAGAAGGGGAUGGGAAACCACUUUAUAAAAAUAAAAUCUACCUAGAAAAUCCUGGGAAGGGUCACCAUAAGUCGGAAUUAUUACUAUUAACGAGUGGCUUGUAUUCUUUCUUGCACCCCAAAUCAGAGGGAAUGCGAUGGUGAGAAAUACAGGUGGCUACUUUAAAGAGUGGUUUUACCAGUUCCCUACUCAAUUGCCAUGGCAGAGCACGGAUUUGAACCCUGUUUUCCAGAGUCGUAGUCCAUCAAUCCAUCCACUAUAUCAUACUGGGAACCACAUUCAGUAGAAAGAACAGCUGCUUAUUACAUGUCUGCAGAAUCCUGCUUGAGGGUUCUAUAUAGCUGGGGGAUGAGGGCCUCCCAAACUUACGAUCGCCUGAUACACAUCGCUCAGGCUCCACGAAAAAUUCAAGGACGAACAAGUCGCCUUCACAGAAUGCGCCACCAGGAACAUGUGCGACAUGGGAGUGAGAGCGCUGUUUGCUGCUGGCCGUAAUGUGGACAUCAAGGUCAACAUAUGCAGCCGUGCGCUUGGAAUCUCUAAAGGAAAGCACACUAUAGAAACAAGAGGAUGCAUGAGGAGGAAAGAAAACCUCAACAAUAAAUAUGGACUAAAUGAAUAAAAUGGCUAAAGA